UCCUACGGGACGCAGCAGUGAGGAAUAUUGGUCAAUGGUCGGGAGACUGAACCAGCCAAGCCGCGUGAGGGGUUAAGGCCCUAUGGGUCGUAAACCUCUUUUGUCAGGGAGCAAGGUCGUCCACGUGUGGGCGUAUGGAGAGUACCUGAAGAAAAAGCAUCGGCUAACUCCGUGCCAGCAGCCGCGGUAAUACGGAGGAUGCGAGCGUUAUCCGGAUUUAUUGGGUUUAAAGGGUGCGUAGGCGGACUGGAAAGUCAGCGGUAAAAUCGAGAGGCUCAACCUCUUUCCGCCGUUGAAACUGUCGG
rnacentral:rRNA from 1 species